UACGUAGGGGGCAAGCGUUGUCCGGAAUUAUUGGGCGUAAAGAGCGCGUAGGCGGUCUGAUAAGUCGGUUGUGAAAGUCGGGGGCUCAACCCUCGGAUGCCGAUCGAUACUGUCAGACUAGAGUCCGGAAGAGGCGAGUGGAAUUCCUGGUGUAGCGGUGAAAUGCGCAGAUAUCAGGAGGAACACCAAUGGCGAAGGCAGCUCGCUGGAACGGUACUGACGCUGAGGCGCGAAAGCUAGGGGAGCGAACAGG
rnacentral:rRNA from 1 species